UCCUUGUUCGUUCUGAUCCCCGGCCUCUCCCUUGGUCUUCUCCUCCACCACUCCCUCGAAAACCCUAUCCAUCGCGGCAUCGCCGACGGCCACUGCCAUCUGCUGCUCCUCCGAACUCUCAAGGCCUCGUUUGCCCCUCUCUCCAAUCUUGAAUCGCGAUAGAAGAGACCCUUAGCUGUCCAUAUAGCGUUGAAACGGUGUUGGUGGUACCGAUUCCUACCAUCUCCUGCUGAGGGUCUGCAAGCCGAUCGUUUUCCUCUUCUUUUUCUUUAAUGAAUCAAAUCACUUAUGAUGAAAGGAAGGACCUCUUCUUAAUCUCAAACUUUUGUAAAUGAUAACGGUCAAUGGAGUAAAUUGUUCGGAAACCUGUUGCAUUUGUUUCCUUUUUUUUUUUCCUCAGGUGCAGGCUAAGCUACAGAUCUGUCGCUAUGUAUGCUUAGAGAAAAAUGAGUUUUUGAUGGGAGGGAAGCUUGUACCUGUAAUUAUACAAGAUCUUCAGGUGGUGAACAGCUUGAGAUGGUUUUGGUAUUGCGGACCUCACCUCUCGAGGGAAAGUGGGGGAGGACUAGAAAAAUUCUAUGGUAUGAGCUGCGCCCGACCUAGUUGCUGGUUGGAAGCUGACAACGGAGGAGACGAUUGGGUAUGGUAAAAUGCACAAUGGGCUCUACUACCUGGAUGAAGGGGAGCUGAAGAACUACUAUCAGAAAGCCGAUAUGGUUGUUUCAUCAUCUAAUGAUGUCAUGCAUAAACUUCAGUUAAAGCACCACAGGCUUGGACAUAUCUCCUUUUCUGUUUUAUCGAGAUUACUUUCCAGUUUAUAUCAUUCUUGUGCUAAAGAACAGUUAGUUUGUGAUGCAUGUGAAUAUGCUAGGCACAUGCGCAAUACUUAUCCGACUUCAGGAACUUGUAGUAAUAGACUAUUUGAGGUUGUUCAUUUUGAUGUGUGGGGAUCCUAUAGUAUUGUCUUCACUUCUGGACGUCGUUAUUUUGUGAUUUUUAUUGACUGUUACAGUAGAGUAACUUGGAUAUAUCUUCUGAAGGCUAAAGAUGAGGUUGUACAUUGUUUCAAAGAGUUCCAUAAAUUAGUUGAUACCCAGUUUAGUACCAGAAUUAAAGUAUUGAGAUCUAAUAAUGGCACAGAAUAUAUGCAUAGGGAGUUUUGUGAGUAUCUAACUAUUCAUGGAAUUAUCCACUAAACUACUUGUGAUGACACCCCAGCCCAGAAUGGUGUUGCUGAACCAAAAAAUCGACAUAUUUUAGAAGUUGCUAGAUCCUUGUUAUUUGCUAUACGAGUUCCAAAAAUCUUAUGGGGUGAGGCAGUUCUCACUACAGCUUAUCUGAUUAACUGCAUGCCUCUUCGAACUUUGGAGUAUAAGGCACCACUUGAAUACCUACAGAGGGUGUCUUCUUUUAUUGUACCUCCUCGAGUUUUCGGAUGUGUGUGCUUUAUCCGGGGUCAUUGUCCUACGGUCGGCAAACUUGAUCCAAAAGCUCUGAAGAGUAUCUUUGUAGGCUAUCUUGCUACUCAAAAGGGUUAUAAAUGCUAUUAUCAUCCUAAAAGAUGGAUAUUUAUCAAUAUGGAUGCCACUUUUUGAGAGACUAAAGCCUUUUUUGACAGUGUUUCAACAAUCAAGCCAGCUACUCAAUUACCUUUAGCCCAACAGUUUAUUUGCUCUCCUAGUAUCCCUUCUAGAGUUACUGAUCAAGAGAGGGAGAUUGUGGUGACUGAGGAGUAAGAGCAAGAGCAGGAGCAAGAGCAAGAGCAGACUGAUGAACAGCUGGACAGUGACUCUAAUUGACAGGGAGAGUCUUUGACUGAGCCCAUUAUGCAUUCCAUCACUAUCCAACAGCCUUCCUCUGACUCAGCUCCAGCAUCCUUAUUUGACAAUGGUGACCUACCUUGAAUCUACCUAUUGCUCAUAAAAAAGCUUCUCGUUCUCAUAUUAUUUCUUUCUGAUAUCGUUAUGAUAUUGCUAAUUUUAUUUUCUAUGAGUCUAUUUCACCUGCAUAUAGGUCAUUUAUUGCAUUGUUAGAAUCUAUCUCUAUACCAUCGCACUGGAAGGAUGCUAUGAUAGAUCCUAAGUGGAGGGGAACGAUGUUUGAAGAAAUACGAGCUUUGGCCAAAAAUCAAACUAGGGAACUGGUUCCCUUACCUGUUGGAAAACAAACAGUUGGUUGCAAAUGGGUCUAUACUGUGAAACAAAUCUUUGAGGUUAAAAAUAAUCGGUACAAAGCUCGUCUAGUUGCCAAAGAUUAUACACAGGCAUACGACAUUGAUUAUGAGGAGAUUUUCGCUCCUGUAGCAAAGAUCAACACAGUUCGGACCCUCAUAUCUUGUGCGACAAAUCUCGGCUGGAGUUUUUUCCAACUAAAUGUGAAGAAUGCAUUUUUACAUGGGAUCUUCAAGAGGAGGUGUAUAUAGAGAUUCCUCUUGGAUUCACUAGUACAGAGACUGUUGGCAAGGUCUGCCGUCUGUGCCGGUCACUCUAUGGAUUGAAGCAGUCACCCAGAGCAUGGUUUGAUCGCUUUCAUCGUGCCAUACUCAAAAUAGGUUAUCACCAAAAUAAUGCAGAUCAUACUAUAUUCUUCUGUCAUAAUAAAAGCAAGGUUGCUAUUCUGAUUGUUUAUGUUGAUGACAUCAUUUUUAUUGGUGAUGAUCUCCCAGAGUUGGCCCGUUUGAAGACUCAAUUGGCACAGUCUUUUGAAGUUAAAGAUCUAGGUAACUUACGGUACUUCUUUGGGAUUGAAGUGGUCAGGUCGUCUCAUGGCAUCUUUCUUUCUUAGCAAAAAUACGUCCUGGAUUUAUUGACUGAGACAAGGAUGUUGGGAUGUCGACCUGCUACUAUACCUAUCGAGCAGAAUCAUUAUCUUACUGCUGAUAGUAGUGAGCCAGUUGACCAUGAGCAAUAUCAGCAUCUUGUUGGCAGACUGAUCUAUCUCUCUCACACAAGACCUGACACAGCCUUUGCAGUCAGUGUUGUGAGUUAGUACAUGCAUGAUCCUCGUGAGCGCCAUUAGGAAGCUAUAUAUAGAAUUCUUCGAUAUCUUAAGAGUUGCCCAGAGCAUGAUCGUCUUUUCUCUCAUUAUGAACAUCUCAAAGUUGAAGCUUAUUUUGAUGCUGAUUAGGCAGGCUUCAUAGAUGAUCGGUGAUCUACCUCAGGCUAUUGUACUUUUGUUGGUGGAAAUCUUAUGACUUGACAUAGUAAGAAACAAGAUGUUGUCGCUCGAUCUAGUGCAGAGGCUGAGUACCGAGCUAUUGCUCAAGGCAUUUGUGAGAUCUUAUGAUUGAAACGACUAUUGUUGAGUUACAUCUCUUUCAGUCUUCUUCUUUAUUUCUAUUCUAUGAUAAUAAGGCGACCAUUAACAUUGCCAAUAAUCCUGUUCAACAUGAUAGAAUUAAGCACAUAGAGAUUGACCGUCAUUUCAUCAAGGAGAAGUUGGAUUAGAAAGUUAUCUGUUUGUCAUUUAUUAAGUCUUCAGAACAAUUGGCAGACAUACUGACGAAGGGUCUCAGUGCUUAUAUAUUUUCUUUGAUUUGUAGCAAGAUGAGACUUCGUGAUAUCUUCACCUCAUCUUGAGGGGGAGUGUUGACAGCCUAGCCUACCCUGAUUUCCGUCCAUGGUCUUUUCCAGCUUAGGUAAUAGCCAUGAAUGGUCUUUCCUAGUUUAGGGGAUAACCAAGAAUGGGUUGUCACCUUCUUAAUAGCCAUGAAUGGUCUUUCCUAGUUUAGGGGGUAACCAAGAAUGGGUUGUCACCUUCCUUUGUAAAGAAUGAAAAUCAUGUACAAAAAGGGGAGGAUCCCUAAGGCUGAAAGUAAGAGAGAGAAAAAAAAAAUCUUGUUCCACUUUCUCCCGUAUAUCUCUUCUUCUUUUCAACUAAACCACUUUUUUUUUUCCUUUGGGAUUACCAAAAUGUCUCAUUACACUUCAUGAAAUAUCAUUCUUAGCACUGGUUGAAAACUUGAAAUUGUUUCCAUUCAUAUUAAAGAUUCUGCACAUAGUUCUCAACUUUGGUGUGAACUUUGCAUGGAUACUUUGACCAAAAACCUUCUUUUGAAUGACCCAAUAGUUUCUUUUGCUUAUUAUCUUUUACAUGAUCCACAAUUUACCUUUGAUCAUACAUUCUACUUUUGUGAGAAUGAUCGUCUGUUUUAUACAGAGGAAAAGUUGGAUAUGUCUAAUAGAUAGAAUUGAGUGAAUGGUUUUGGAUGCAGAAAGAAAAAGCAGAGCUUGGUUGCUGCUGAUGCAUUUGCAGCUUUAGAUGAUGCUAUUGAGAGCAACAUGGAAACUCAUUGAGAUGGUGUCCAACAAUAAAAGUACAACAGAUGCAAGCAGAGAAAGCUUCAAGAUGUUCCACCUCAUUUUUCAGAGUUACCUUUAUAGAUCUAGCUGCAAUUUGUAGUCCUUUGUGAUCCUGAACUAGUUUCUGGAAAAUUGCCCAUCAAAUGUAUCUUGCAAGAUCCUUCUUUGGAGGUGUCCAUUCUGAACUCAGUUGAGUUCCUUCUGUUAUGACUGCUUGAACUCUUACAGAAAACUAUAUGCAUCAUUGGUUGUUGGUAAUUGAUCUUUCUGUAAGCUAUGGAAUAUGGCCUGGCUUUUAAUUUUCCCCUCAAAUUGUUCAACCCAUCAUUACAAAGUUUGAUAAAAUCUCUUCAUUUGAUUUCUUUACAUGGAUACAUUUAAUUGAGAAACUUAAAUUGCAAGAGACUAUUUUUUUCUGCAUUAAUGGAGGACAAUUUUUCUGACAUGGGCACGGGAAGUGCAUGUAGCAAAGAGCCUGCAGAUGGCAUGUGGGCUGUGGCUGGUCGCAUGUGGUGUCUAAUUGGGCUAUUUACAGGACAUGCAGUCAAUCAUUGUUUAGUUUCUCUUGUUAUACAUCAAUAGAAACACUAGAGACAGGAAGGACACUUUCUUGGUAUUGUAUAUACUAUAUCAUCAACUGAAUGCUAUGGGGUUGUUUCUACAUUUUUUGUUGUUCCUACGUAAUUCGAGAUUAGCAAUGGUCAACUGUGAAAAUUUAAAUUUCAUUGAAAAUACCUCUGUUUUUUCAAGACUAGUUCAAUUAUCAUAAUGUUUGUUGAAGCAUUAGAAUAUUAUUAAGAUGCAGAACCUAAAGCUUUUCUCCUUCCCCCAAAAAACUUGAAGCUUUCCUCUAUGAUUCAAAUUUUGACAUAUUGCUACAAAUGUAUUAACCAUAACUAUCUGUUCACUGCUCAGUGCUAUCAAGAAGAGCCACAUUCUUUGUCAUUUUUUUUUUUUAAUCCUUUUCCAUGAGUAACAACUGCAUUACAAUUUUAUAAUAAUAACAAUGCAUUGUCUGCCCUUUCCCCCA